rnacentral:misc_RNA from 1 species
GAACUUUCGAAUCGAAGAAGUAAAGAAAAAAAAUGAGUUCAUCAACGAGAGCUUGGGUUGUAGCCGCCAGUGUGGGCGUCGUGGAAGCCUUAAAAGAUCAAGGAAUUUGCCGAUGGAAUCAAACCAUUAGAUCGGCGCAUCAAUACGCCAAAAAUCAUGUCAGAUCGGUGCCUCAGGCCACCAGAUUGAGUGGCUCUUCCGCCGCCGUGGUUUCCGGCAAGCAACAGCAGAAGCAAUCGGAAGAAUCAUUCAGAACCGUCAUGUAUUUGAGCUGUUGGGGU